AGAGUUUGAUCAUGGCUCAGAAUGAACGUUGGCGGCGUGGAUUAGGCAUGCAAGUCGCGCGAGAAACCCGCAAGGGUGGAAAGCGGCGAAAGGGAGAGUAACGCGUGGAAAUCUACCCACAGACUCGGGAUAGCCGCGGGAAACUGCGGGUAAUACCGAAUAAUGUCUCCGGACCAAAGGUGUGAUUCCGUCUGUGGAUGAGUCCGCGUCCUAUUAGCUUGUUGGCAGGGUAAUGGCCUACCAAGGCGAUGAUGGGUACUGGGUGUGAGAGCACGACCCAGCUCACUGGGACUGAGACACUGCCCAGACACCUACGGGUGGCUGCAGUCGAGGAUCUUCGGCAAUGGGCGCAAGCCUGACCGAGCGACGCCGCGUGCGGGAUGAAGGCCUUCGGGUUGUAAACCGCUGUCAGAGGGAAUGAAAGGCCCUAGGGUACUCUCUAGGGUUUGACAGCUCCUCAGAGGAAGUACGGGCUAAGUUCGUGCCAGCAGCCGCGGUAAGACGAACCGUACGAACGUUAUUCGGAAUCACUGGGCUUAAAGGGUGCGUACGCGGUGC
rnacentral:rRNA from 1 species